rnacentral:rRNA from 1 species
CAUAGUCUACAGCCAUCCAUGAAUCUGCCAAAUCUUGUCUGAUCUCAGAAACUAAGCAAGGUUGGGCCUGGUUAGUACUUGAAUGGGAGAACCUGGCAUGGCUAGAU